rnacentral:rRNA from 3 species
CUGGCUGUGUGCCUAAUACAUGCAUGUCGAGCGGAGUUCUUCGGAACUUAGCGGCGAAUGGGUGAGUAACACGUACUUAACAUGCCUUUUAGAUUGGGACAACGAUGAGAAAUUAUCGCUAAUACCGGAUACUUAUAUGGUUCGCAUGAACUAUAUAUAAAAGAAGCCUUUAAAGCUUCACUAAAAGAUUGGGGUGCGGAACAUUAGCUAGUUGGUAAGRUAAUGGCUUACCAAGGCGAUGAUGUUUAGCGGGGUUGAGAGACUGAUCCGCCACACUGGGACUGAGAUACGGCCCAGACUCCUACGGGAGGCAGCAGUAGGGAAUUUUCCACAAUGGACGAAAGUCUGAUGGAGCGACACAGCGUGCAGGAUGAAGGCCUUCGGGUUGUAAACUGCUGUUAUAAGGGAAGAAAAAGCAGUAGAGGAAAUGCUAUUGCCUUGACGGUACCUUGUCAGAAAGCAACGGCUAACUAUGUGCCAGCAGCCGCGGUAAUACAUAGGUUGCAAGCGUUAUCCGGAAUUAUUGGGCGUAAAGCGUCUGUAGGUUGUAUGUUAAGUCUGGCGUGAAAACUUGGGGCUCAACCCCAAAUUGCGUUGGAUACUGGCAUGCUAGAAUUGUGUAGAGGUUAGCGGAAUUCCUAGUGAAGCGGUGAAAUGCGUAGAUAUUAGGAAGAACAUCAACAUGGCGAAGGCAGCUAACUGGGCACAUAUUGACACUGAGAGACGAAAGCGUGGGGAGCAAACAGGAUUAGAUACCCUGGUAGUCCACGCUGUAAACGAUGAUGAUUAGCUGAUAGUAGAACUAUCGGCACAGCUAACGCAUUAAAUCAUCCGCCUGAGUAGUAUGCUCGCAAGAGUGAAACUUAAAGGAAUUGACGGGGAUCCGCACAAGCGGUGGAGCAUGUGGUUUAAUUUGAAGAUACKCGUAGAACCUUACCCACUCUUGACAUCUUCCGCAAARCUAUAGAGAUAUAGUGGAGGCUAACGGAAUGACAGAUGGUGCAUGGUUGUCGUCAGCUCGUGUCGUGAGAUGUUCGGUUAAGUCCUGCAACGAGCGCAACCCUUGUCCUUAGUUAAUUUUCUAGGGAGACUGCCCGAGUAAUUGGGAGGAAGGUGGGGACGACGUCAAAUCAUCAUGCCUCUUACGAGUGGGGCAACACACGUGCUACAAUGGAUGGUACAAAGAGAAGCAAAACGGCGACGUCAAGCAAAUCUCAAAAAACCAUUCUCAGUUCGGAUUGUAGUCUGCAACUCGACUACAUGAAGUCGGAAUCGCUAGUAAUCGUAGAUCAGCUACGCUACGGUGAAUACGUUCUCGGGUCUUGUACACACCGCCCGUCACACCAUGGGAGCUGGUAAUGCCCGAAGUCGGUUUUGUUAACUACGGAGACAACUGCCUAAGGCAGGGCCGGUGACUGGGGUGAAGUCGUAACAAGGUAUCCCUACGAGAAC